rnacentral:lncRNA from 1 species
UCUUCCCCACGUGCCCAGCUAGUAUACCCUGGCAGGCACCAAGCAGUCUUCCUUCCAGUUUCCCCAGAACCUUUCACCUUCCCUACCUCUAACUUGUGCCCUUGCUCUAAUAUGCAGAGUCUUGUCUUUAUCCCAGUCCUCCAAAGCCCCACUCCUCUAAAUUGGUAAUUCCUGAUUCUUAGAAGGUGAACACCGUUCAGUUUAAUGAAGAAGCCACAGUCAUCCUCUCUGGUUCUAUCGAUUCCAGUGUCAGAUGUUGGGACUGCCGAUCCAGGAAGCCUGAGCCAGUGCAGACACUAGAUGAAGCCAGGGACGGCAUAUCCAGUGUAAAGGUGUCAGAUCAUGAGAUCUUGGCAGGCUCUGUGGAUGGCCGUGUAAGGCGCUAUGACCUAAGGAUGGGACAAGUCACCUCGGACUAUGUGGGCAGCCCCAUCACCUGCACCUGCUUCAGCCGGGAUGGGCAGUGCACUCUGAUAUCCAGCCUGGACUCUACUCUGAGGCUUCUAGAUAAAGACACAGGGGAGCUGCUGGGCGAGUAUGUGGGCCAUAAAAACCAGAAGUACAAGC